UCAUCGUAACCAUUACCUUGUCCCAACUAUUUUGUGGUUGGUUGCACUCAAAAACCCAUAUUAAAGAGGGCAUAUAUGUAUGUAUGUAUGUAUGUAUGUAUAUAUGUAUGUAUAAAAUUCUUUAAAGGUGAUAUUGCAUUAGGUGAUAAAAAAGAUCCUAAAUUCAUCAUUUUGAAGAAAUCAGAUAUGGGGAAAUCUUGCACCGAGGAAAGUUCCAAUCUAUAUUUACAAGGAAAAAGCUCACAUAAGUUGGUCCUUUGGUUGCUUCAAAAAAUUAUUUUGCAAUGUUCAUUAGUUCAGCGCUUAUGUUGUGAUGUCAACUGAAUAUAGAUUUUGUAUUAUAAUGUUAAUUUUCAGCAUUAUCAAUGUGUUGGGUUAAUAACCAAAGAAAAGAAAAUUCAACAUGUUUCAUCUACUUAGGCAUGAUUUUUUAUCAAUUCUCUUUUGAUGCAUAAAGCAGAUACUUUUUCUUCUUUCGUUUAGUGUAGCACAUUUUCUGUUUCGCUUCAAGGCAUAAUGGUACAUACAGCUUCAAGUGAUUUUACAUUCAAGGAACAAAGCUUGUACUUGGUAGAAUGUAGACUUGCCUUUGACACUCUUUCCUACCAAAAUCUAAUUGCGAGAAAAGUGAAUUCUUCUGAAAGUUUUAUGGUUUAAUACGGUCUUUGCAACUUCACUGCUUCUAUUCUCAUCACUCCUGUCAUUUCUUCGAUGCAUUCACCAACAUAAUUUUUGGUUUAUUGAAUGAUGUUGAUGGAAUUGUCACUGAAUUUAACCACUUUAGAUUUGCCUUUUGAAAUUGUAUGAGGAUUCAUUCUUCUGAAAGACACUAUCUAAUGCUAAGCUGGA
rnacentral:lncRNA from 1 species